AGCCAUAUCACGUUGAAAUGCCAGUUCUCAUAUGAUCACUGAAGUUAAGCAACAUUGAGCCUGGUCAGUACUUAGAUGGGUGACCACUUGGGAAUACCAGUUGCUGUAA